AUUGAACGCUGGCGGCAUGCCUUACACAUGCAAGUCGAACGGCAGCACGGGGCAACCUGGUGGCGAGUGGCGAACGGGUGAGUAAUGCAUCGGAACGUACCUUUCAGUGGGGGAUAACGUAGCGAAAGUUACGCUAAUACCGCAUAUUCUGUGAGCAGGAAAGGAGGGGAUCGCAAGACCUUGCGCUGAUUGAGCGGCCGAUGUCAGAUUAGCUAGUUGGUGAGGUAAAGGCUCACCGAGGCGACGAUCUGUAGCGGGUCUGAGAGGAUGAUCCGCCACACUGGAACUGAGACACGGUCCAGACUCCUACGGGAGGCAGCAGUGGGGAAUUUUGGACAAUGGGGGCAACCCUGAUCCAGCCAUGCCACGUGAGUGAAGAAGGCCUUCGGGUUGUAAAGCUCUUUCGGCCGGGAAGAAAUCGCACGGGCUAAUACCCUGUGUGGAUGACGGUACCGGAAUAAGAAGCACCGGCUAACUACGUGCCAGCAGCCGCCGUAACAC
rnacentral:rRNA from 1 species